rnacentral:rRNA from 1 species
UACAGAGGUCUCAAGCGUUGUUCGGAUUCAUUGGGCGUAAAGGGUGCGUAGGUGGCGCUGUAAGUCAGGUGUGAAAUUUCGGAGCUUAACUCCGAAACUGCAUUUGAUACUGCGGUGCUCGAGGACUGGAGAGGAGACUGGAAUUACGGUGUAGCAGUGAAAUGCGUAGAGAUCGUAAGGAAGACCAGUGGCGAAGGCGGGUCUCUGGACGAG